GGCAUUUAUUCUCAUGUUCUUCUCAGCAAAGCAAUGUGAAGUCAUUAACAUUCAUGCCAAUUAAUGGAGCUACUGCUGAAAAGAAACCCAGCACCUGCAAGUAAAAGGAGGAGGUGACAAUCAGUAUAUUUUUAAACAGUUCCCCCUUUGAAGUUUUGUGAGAAUUUUAAUUAGCAAGGUCACCCACUACAAUACCCAUGAUAAAAACACAGCCAAGGCAGCUAGACUAUUAAUAUUUAAUCUUUGCAUAUAUUUUAAUGUUUGCAGAACUAGAGUAUUAAGUAUUGCAAUAUUUGCAUUCAUUCCAAUAACAUUCUUAAAUGCCCAUGUUAAAAGGAAAAGGAAAAAAAUACCACAAUGCUUUGUGUUGCUGUGCUUUAAGGAUGAACUGCAGAUGCUGCCUGUAUUAUUCUGCUCUGUUUAAGUUCUCUGAUUUAGGUAUUUCCUGCUUAGCUUGCUGGCAGAGGAGCUAAGGUAUUAUUGUAAAGAUCGGCUUGCAAAUUCUUAGAUAGGUGCUAUAUAGCAGCUCAGAUUUAGCACAAUUUCUCUUACUGUCAAAAUUGUGUUCUGUGACUUCCAUAUGACCAUGUUUUAACUAUCCAUCACAACUGCAAAACCCAUUAUAACUUUCUAAACCUUGCCAUCUUAUACUGUAUUUACCAGAAUCCAAGACUAGCUUUUCCCCCCGAUGGUCAUCGAUGUUAGAAACUGAGAUGGGCCGUCUUACAUUUAGGGUCCUCUUUCUUUUGGGUAAAUAGAAUAACCUAUAUUUAACCCAUAUUUUUAGGGGGUUGUCUUAAAUGCAGGGUCAUCUUCUAUUCGGGUAAAUGUGGUAUUCAUGCAUGUAUAUAGCACUUAGCAAUAGCAAUAGCACUUACAUUUAUAUACCGCUUUUAUAGCCGGAGCUCUCUAAGCGGUUUACAAUGAUUUAGCAUAUUGCCCCCAACAUUCUGGGUACUCAUUUUACCGACCUCGGAAGGAUGGAAGGCUGAGUCAACCUUGAGCCCCUGGUCAGGAUUGAUCUUGCAACCUUCUGGUUACAGGGCGGCAGUUUUACCACUGCGCCACCAGGGGCUCGUUAUAUAUAGGAAAGAUUAGCAGAUUUCUUGGUACUCAGUUUGAGCUUUCUGAAACACCUGGCAAUUUUUAUGACAUUGUACAAUUAUAUUAAGAUUUUCUAUAUGUAUUUUCCUUGGACAGCCUCAAGAUUUAAGGUUUAUGCAUGCAAGUUCAUUGUGAAGAUUUCCAUACAACCUUUGGAGAUUGACCCCUCCACCCAUCCAAUACUUUCCGAUAUGUGAAGUCACUGUACAAGCAAAAGAAUACUUCCCUUGGGGGUUAUUCACACUUGACUUCAGGGUCAACAUUGAGUGAAGCCACUUCAAAGUACACUUGUGGCAUUGAGGGAAGCAGCCUCUCUCCUCUGCUCUUAGUUUUCUUUUGAAACAAGUCCACAUGGCAUGUUCUGUGUUUUCCUUCUAGCCAAUGGGAGGGGGAGAGCGAGAGAGCUCCUGCAGAGAUAAAUCUGCAUUUCUGAAGAGAGCAUGCCUCUUACCAUGCUGAUGAUUCUACCUCAGGGCCUCUCCCUAUUUGCUCCAGCUUUUCAGAAAACAUUGCUUAAAACCAGCAUUUUAAAAACUCUUAAAAAGUAGAAUGCACUGAUCCAGGCAGCUUCUAGGCUUGGUAGCACUCCUCCCUCCCUAGCAGCAUGCGUGGUGACAGUGCAGCUCUGACAUGCACCUGGCCUCCGUGCAUGCAGCGGCCAGAUGCAUGCCAGAGCCGUGCUGCCACGCAGGCUGCUGGGGGAAGUGCCACCGAACCUAGAAGCUGCCUGGAGCAGCAGUACCACUGCUAAGGACCUGCUGAUUUACUUUUAAAGGUGCCUCUCGCUGCCUCACUAGCACUCAAACAGCCAAACUGGUUCAAGCUGAACCACCGGAGUCUCAAACUGUUCCAUUUCUUUCCAUCAUCCAAUCUGACAGAAUCUCCUCAGAUUUAGAUUAUUUGUUCUGGUCCAGAAUAUCGGGAACAUGCCUUUCACAUUUUAUAAAAUGAAGCUCUUCGCACAAUUACUACACCUUCUUUUGGGAGCUCCUCUUGGCCUGGAAGUAGAAGUUGAGAUAAAACAAUACCUGGCAGAUAUUCUACCUGGAAAUCAAAAUCCCUAAGUCGGGUGAUCCAUUUGACUAUUCUUGGGGUUGCUCAACUUGAUCCCCACUUAGUAAGUAAAGCAGAUAGGGGCUGACUGAAAAGUAAAUUUUCUGCCCCACAAGUAAGUCCUGAAGUGCUUCACCAACAAACAUGCCAGAGCUUCUUUUUCAGAGACAGAAUACAUCUCCUCUGAAGCAGUAAGGCAACUAUAACUUCCCUGUCCUGUUUUUGCUGGUCAAGACCACACAAACCAUAUUCAGAAGCAUCAGUGGUUACAAUAGUGUGCCUGUUGGUUUCAAAAAAAAGUGAGAGCAGGACUUUCAACAAUGGCCAGUUUGAUAGUCUGAAAACUAGCCUCGCAUUAUGCAUCCCAACCUUCUUUCUUAAAAAAGAAGAUGCUGUGGAGUAACUUUGGAGGCAAAUUGCCUAACAAAUUUGUAGUAAUACUCUGAGACCUAAACAUUAUCAAAGUGCAUCCUUGCUGUGUGCUUCCUGGAUAGAUUUCACCGAGUCUGUUUUGGGAAGUACGCCACUCCAAAAUAUUGUGUGACCUAAAUAUGUCACAGGGUGUGUGCAAAACAGAUAUUUCUCUGCAGAGAUAGUAAGUCUGUGUUGUUGGAGACUUUCAUAAGAGUUUGGUCAGUUUAGCAUCAUGCUCCUCAAUGGUUUUGCCAUACACUAAAAUGUAAUCCUGAAAGUGAUGCCUUCUGUAGUCCCAAAAAUUGCAUACAUCAUUCGUUGAAAUACUUAAGCUGCAGAGGCUAAUCCAAAGGACAGUCUUAUGCAUUGAAAAAGACCCUCUGGGGUUAUGAAGGCUGUGUAUUUGCGGGAACCUCUGAGCAGAGGAAUUUAUGAUAGGCCAAAGAUAAGUCCAAAAUUGUCUGAGGUCUCUUUCAGAGUAAGCAACAUUUCACUAAUAUUGGGCAAUGGAUGCCAGUCCACUACCAUGAUGGAGUUCACAUCUCUUAAAUCCACAGACAUUUUAAGUGUACCAUUUGAUUUCCACACAAGAACAAUGGGAAGGACCCAUUCUGAUGAAUCAACAGGCUCUAUAAGUCCGCAUGCUGUAGUCUUAAAACCUCCUCGCUAAGUGUUGGAGCACUACUAUGGGUACAUUCUUCACUUUGUGUUUUACAUCUGAAUUUUAUGUUUGAAAUGUAUGGCUAUGCCAGGAGUAUCAGCAAAAACAUCCAAGAAAUUAGCAAUCAUAUCAGCACAUGGAUACUCCAUCUGUAAUUUGGGUUCUUUAUUAUCUGGGUCUAACACUAUCCAGAUAUCUUUGAUGUUUCCAGCCCAAUAUUGAGACUCCUUUUUGUGAUAUGUACACUUUCCCUUCUGCAGUUCAUCCUUUGCAUUCCAGGACAACAGUGAAGUAUCCAUUUAUGGCAAUAGGGGAACUUCCAUAUCCCCAUCGGUGGAUGUCUGAAGGCUGUAGGUGCAGAUCUUAUGUAGUAAGCAGUUUCUUGUAAAGUAGAUGUGAAAUGAUAAUUUAUGGAGAACCAGAAUCCGCCAUUAUCUGCACUUCAUAGCCAUUAAGUUUUACUUGACAAUGUGGAGAAGCAGGCUCUGUCACACUUAAAAUGCUGUCAGGAAGUGGUUCAUCUGCCUCAUCCGUAUCAUAUAGUGAAUCAGUAAUGGAGUGGACUGCAGACUUGCAACCCUUAGCAAAGUGUCCCAUUUUCUUGAACCUGUUGCAAGUGACCAUCCGUGCAGGGCAGAGAGCAAAGUUGGCUUUGUGGACAGAGUCUCCACAUUGGUAGCAUUGGUAGCUCUUCCUUUCCUAAGCUGUCACUUUCUGGGGCUUGAUUUAGAUUGAACAGCCUGGAUUGCAGGAGGUUUGGUUUUGGAGUACCAAAGAGAGCCAUUUGGCACAGUGAAGAGCAUUUCCCACCCUCCUAGCUUCAUCCAAGCAGGGGCAUCCACGCUGCAGUGGGCAUCCAGUGAACAACAGAGUCCAGGACUGAUAAGGGAAGAGUACCUUCAAGGGUUGUGCCAGAAAGCUGGAGAAACAUUUAGCAGCAGCAAUAGUAGAAUGCAGCAGUUCAGGCACACAGGCCCAGUAAUACAUUGAAAGGAAGAUGAAGGAACAUUCACAAGCUUUACAGGCUUACACACCCAAGUGGUUCAGAAUCACAUUGCCAAAUGUUUUAUAGCUGCUUCCCUUGUAAACACAAAGUAGUCUUAUGUUGGUUGUUCCUUUCCCCCCUCCCUUUCCUUUCUGACUCCACCCCUCACAUUCCCUACAGGAUUCCCCCUGGGACAAGCUUCUAAAAUAACAAAACAUAAAAGAUUACUAGAUAGAAUACAACAUGGUUUCUUUUCAUUUCUUCCAGUGCUUUUCAGUAAGGAUCAUCCUGAUCUCCCACCAUGGUUUUGACUUGCGUUUUGGGCGGUAUACAAAGACUUGCGUUUUGGGCAGUAUACAAAUGUGAUAAAUAAAUAAAUAAAAUAAGGGUUUCCUUCA